rnacentral:rRNA from 1 species
AUUGAACGCUGGCGGCAGGCCUAACACAUGCAAGUCGAGCGGAUGAAGGGAGCUUGCUCCUGGAUUCAGCGGCGGACGGGUGAGUAAUGCCUAGGAAUCUGCCUGGUAGUGGGGGAUAACGUCCGGAAACGGGCGCUAAUACCGCAUACGUCCUGAGGGAGAAAGUGGGGGAGCUUCGGACCUCACGCUAUCAGAUGAGCCUAGGUCGGAUUAGCUAGUUGGUGGGGUAAAGGCCUACCAAGGCGACGAUCCGUAACUGGUCUGAGAGGAUGAUCAGUCACACUGGAACUGAGACACGGUCCAGACGCCUACGGGAGGCAGCAGUGGGGAAUAUUGGACAAUGGGCGAAAGCCUGAUCCAGCCAUGCCGCGUGUGUGAAGAAGGUCUUCGGAUUGUAAAGCACUUUAAGUUGGGAGGAAGGGCAGUAAGUUAAUACCUUGCUGUUUUGACGUUACCAACAGAAUAAGCACCGGCUAACUUCGUG